GAUGAACGCCGGCGGCGUGCCUAAUACAUGCAAGUCGAGCGAAUGGAUUAAGAGCUUGCUCUUAUGAAGUUAGCGGCGGACGGGUGAGUAACACGUGGGUAACCUGCCCAUAAGACUGGGAUAACUCCGGGAAACCGGGGCUAAUACCGGAUAACAUUUGAACCGCAUGGUUCGAAAUUGAAAGGCGGCUUCGGCUGUCACUUAUGGAUGGACCCGCGUCGCAUUAGCUAGUUGGUGAGGUAACGGCUCACCAAGGCAACGAUGCGUAGCCGACCUGAGAGGGUGAUCGGCCACACUGGGACUGAGACACGGCCCAGACUCCUACGGGAGGCAGCAGUAGGGAAUCUUCCGCAAUGGACGAAAGUCUGACGGAGCAACGCCGCGUGAGUGAUGAAGGCUUUCGGGUCGUAAAACUCUGUUGUUAGGGAAGAACAAGUGCUAGUUGAAUAAGCUGGCACCUUGACAGUACCUAACCAGAAAGCCACGGCUAACUACGUGCCAGCCGCCGCAGUAA
rnacentral:rRNA from 1 species